CACGUGGUAGAGAACAUAUUGUAUUUAAAAUGUUAAAUUAUCUGAAAAAUAAAAUGUGCAAGCCUUUAGGAUGGCAUGAAAAUAACAAAGGUUAAUGCUUCUUGGGCAACAUUCUCAGAGAGA